rnacentral:rRNA from 1 species
AUUCCAGCUCCAAUAGCGUAUAUUAAAGUUGUUGCAGUUAAAAAGCUCGUAGUUGAACUUCUGAUAGUUGAUUUGGCUGGCUUCGGUCGCCUUGUUGGCUGUCAUCCGCUUGGGAAUUUCGUUCGGUCUUCAUUGAUUGGCGGGGGGAUCAAGCAUUUUACUUUGAAAAAAUUAGAGUGUUCAAGGCAGGCUAUCGCCAUGAAUACACAAGCAUGGAAUAAUGGAAUAGGACUCUCAGUCAUUUUAUUGGUUAUUGACUGAAAGUAAUGAUUAAUAGGGACAGUUGGGGGCAUUCGUAUUUAAUUGUCAGAGGUGAAAUUCUUGGAUUUAUUAAAGACGAACUUAUGCGAAAGCAUUUGCCAAGGAUGUUUUCAUUG